rnacentral:lncRNA from 1 species
AUGAAGUCAUCUUCAGAGAAAAAAAUGAUCUUUGCUGAAGGUCUGGUUAGGUUGCACCUUGGCUGGAGAAGUCACCCUGGCAGUAAAGUCAGCUCCAGACUCUUGAUUCAGGAGAAACCAUUAUGGAAGUGCCUAGAAAAUAAGCAAAAAGCCAGGAAGACCUACAUAAUUUUCACCAUUGCUCCAACUGAAAGACUUCCCCAGGUAAAAGGCAACUGGCACAUUGAAUGUUUUGACAUUAAAUUAAUCCAUUCAAUAGCCAAUUAGAAACAAGAAGUACAAGCUUAGAAAUGUAGAAAUAAACUUGAUGAAUACAUUGUUUUCACAGUAGUGAGAUUGAGAAUCCCCUACAUUACUUGGAAGGAAGAGAAUAUUUCAAAGCAGAUCAGAAUAUGUCACCACAGGUGAAAACAAGAGACUCAGAACCUCCGAGAGAACCCAAAAUGAUUGAAAUUGCCAUCAGCCAUGAUUGGCCAAGUUUUUCACCAGUUUCUUAGGGGGAUAGGAUUGGGGUUAAAUUAGAAUUGUACAUAAGAAUAUGCAUAAAUACCCACAAACAUUUGCUUCCAUUAGUGUAGUAAAAUCUGUAUAGUUAAUUCACAGCCUACGUUCAGCAAAUACUCACCUAAUUCUUCUGUGAUCUAUAUUAUAGCCUGAGCUAAGAAAAUGCAUGUGAGGAUUAUUAUAUUGGAUUAUUAUAUUGGUUUUAGUGGUUGCAUGUGACUCUCUGCACCUUUUUCUCAGUCCUAUCCUUAACUUUGCCUUGAAAUGUCCUAGAAAGCACAGAGAAAGCUCCAAAGUUACACAACGUUCAUCACUAUGCAAACCGAUCAAUGAUCUGAAAAUACUAUGGAGAUAUUAUUCUGA